CAGUCGCCGCGGGAAUACGUAGGGUGCGAGCGUUAAUCGGAAUUACUGGGCGUAAAGCGUGCGCAGGCGGUUAUGUAAGACAGUUGUGAAAUCCCCGGGCUCAACCUGGGAACUGCAUCUGUGACUGCAUAGCUAGAGUAUGGCAGAGGGGGGUGGAAUUCCACGUGUAGCAGUGAAAUGCGUAGAGAUGUGGAGGAACACCGAUGGCGAAGGCAGCCCCCUGGGCCAAUACUGACGCUGAGGCACGAAAGCGUGGGGAGCAAACAGGAUUAGAUACCCCCGUAGUCCCUGUCUCUUAUAC
rnacentral:rRNA from 1 species